rnacentral:rRNA from 1 species
UACGAAGGGAGCUAGCGUUGUUCGGAAUCACUGGGCGUAAAGGGUGCGUAGGUGGCGUGGUAAGUCGGGUGUGAAAUUUCGGAGCUUAACUCCGAAACUGCAUUCGAUACUGCUGUGCUUGAGGACUGGAGAGGAGACUGGAAUUUACGGUGUAGCAGUGAAAUGCGUAGAGAUCGUAAGGAAGACCAGUGGCGAAGGCGGGUCUCUGGACAGUUCCUGACACUGAGGCACGAAGGCCAGGGGAGCAAACGGG